UCCACGAAGUUGGAUUCGCUAGUAAUCGCGCAUCAGCCAUGGCGCGGUGAAUACGUUCCCGGGCCUUGUACACACCGCCCGUCAAGCCAUGGGAGCCGGGGGCGCCUGAAGUCCGGGACCGCGAGGACCGGCCUAGGGCGAAACUGGUAACUGGGGCUAAGUCGUAACAAGGUAAC
rnacentral:rRNA from 1 species